rnacentral:rRNA from 1 species
UGAACGCUGGCGGCGUGCCUAAUACAUGCAAGUCGAACGGAGAUUUUAGCAAUAAGAUCUUAGUGGCGAACGGGUGAGUAACGCGUUGGUGACCUGCCUCAAAGUGUGGGAUAACAGUUCGAAAGGAUUGCUAAUACCGCAUGUGAUCUCUGGGAUUAGAUGCCCGGUUAUUAAAGCCGAAAGGCGCUUUGAGAGGGACCUGCGUCCCAUCAGCUAGUUGGUAGGGUAACGGCUUACCAAGGCGAUGACGGGUAGGGGACCUGAGAGGGUGGACCCCCACAAUGGAACUGAAACACGGUCCAUACACCUACGGGUGGCAGCAGUAGGGAAUAUUGCAUAAUGGGCGAAAGCCUGAUGCAGCAACGCCGCGUGUGCGAUGAAGGCCUUCGGGUCGUAAAGCACUUUUAGAGAGGAUGAGGAAGGACAGUACUCUCUGAAUAAGCCUCGGCUAACUACGUGCCAGCAGCCGCGGUAAAACGUAGGAGGCGAGCGUUAUCCGGAUUUACUGGGCGUAAAGCGCGUGCAGGUGGUUCGGUAAGUUGGAUGUGAAAGCUCCUGGCUUAACUGGGAGAGGUCGUUCAAUACUACCGGGCUUGAGUAUGGAAGAGGGAAGUGGAAUUCCGGGUGUAGUGGUGAAAUGCGCAGAUAUCCGGAGGAACACCAGUGGCGAAAGCGGCUUCCUGGUCCAUUACUGACACUCAGACGCGAAAGCUAGGGGAGCGAACGGGAUUAGAGACCCCGGUAGUCCUAGCUGUAAACGAUGCGGACUUGGCGUCGGUGGGUUCAAAUCCAUCGGUGCCGAAGCUAACGCGAUAAGUCCGCCGCCUGGGGACUAC